rnacentral:rRNA from 2 species
AGCAUUAUACCGUGAAACUGCGAAUGGCUCAUUAAAUCAGUUAUCGUUUAUUUGAUAGUACCUUACUACUUGGAUAACCGUGGUAAUUCUAGAGCUAAUACAUGCUAAAAACCCCAACUCCGGAAGGGGUGUAUUUAUUAGAUAAAAAACCAAUGCCCUUCGGGGCUCUUUGGUGAUUCAUGAUAACUUCUCAGAUCGCAUGGCCUUGCGCCGGCGACGGUUCAUUCAAAUUUCUGCCCUAUCAACUUUCGAUGGUAAGGUAUUGGCUUACCAUGGUUUCAACGGGUAACGGGGAAUUAGGGUUCGAUUCCGGAGAGGGAGCCUGAGAAACGGCUACCACAUCCAAGGAAGGCAGCAGGCGCGCAAAUUACCCAAUCCCGACACGGGGAGGUAGUGACAAUAAAUACUGAUACAGGGCUCUUUUGGGUCUUGUAAUUGGAAUGAGUACAAUUUAAACCUCUUAACGAGGAACAAUUGGAGGGCAAGUCUGGUGCCAGCAGCCGCGGUAAUUCCAGCUCCAAUAGCGUAUAUUAAAGUUGUUGCAGUUAAAAAGCUCGUAGUUGAACCUUGGGCCUGGCUGGCAGGUCCGCCUCACCGCGUGUACUUGACCGGCCGGGCCUUCUCUUCUGGAGAACCUCAUGCCCUUUACUGGGCGUGUUGGGGACCAGGACUUUUACUUUGAAAAAAUUAGAGUGUUCAAAGCAGGCCUUUGCUCGAAUAUGUUAGCAUGGAAUAAUAGAAUAGGACGUGCGGUCCUAUUUUGUUGGUUUCUAGGACCGCCGUAAUGAUUAAUAGGGACAGUCGGGGGCAUCAGUAUUCAAUUGUCAGAGGUGAAAUUCUUGGAUUUAUUGAAGACUAACUACUGCGAAAGCAUUUGCCAAGGAUGUUUUCAUUAAUCAGUGAACGAAAGUUAGGGGAUCGAAGACGAUCAGAUACCGUCGUAGUCUUAACCAUAAACUAUGCCGACUAGGGAUCGGGCGAUGUUUCAAUAUUGACUCGCUCGGCACCUUACGAGAAAUCAAAG